UCUAACAACUUAACGUGUUUG
rnacentral:piRNA from 1 species